rnacentral:tRNA from 1 species
GCGCUCUUAGUGUAGUGGCAACACGCUAGCUUCCCUAGCUGUAAUUGAGGGUUCGAUUCCCUUAGAGCGCU